UCCUGGAACAGCUCGUUCUUCUCCCGUGCCCUACCGUUUGCUGCCAUUUGUGGGCUGAGAUAGGCCCACUUUAUUCCUCAGGCCGCGUCCCUGGGUGGCGUCUGUGACCGAGCAGAGCGACGUGACCCUUCUCAACGAGAACGGCAGACCCAGCAAAGCGGAACAGGAAGCGCUUUCAAUUAACAAGUCUCUCGUGCACAGGCGGAUGGCUAGCCCGAGCUCCUCUGACAGCCUGGGGACCCAAUGUUCCAGAUUGAAGCUGCGCCGUCACCUACCUGGUCCUGAGGUGAGGACGAAGUGGAGCCAAGCUGCUUGCCUCCCUGAGGGACGUGGAGUGAGAGCCAGAAGUAAUCCUUUGCUUAAGUGACUGAGAUUUUCAGAGCUGUUCAUUACGGCAGCAAAACCUAGAACAUCCUGACUGAUGCGAGCUACGUAAUACCCAUUUCCCCACAAUAUAAAUGAGGAAACUCAUGCUCAGAGAGGUUCGGCUAUUUUCCCAAGCUCACACAGCUGGCAAAGGAUAGACCUGGAACUUGAACUGAGAAAGCUGAUGGCAGAAUUUGAGCCAUUAACCACAGCCCCGGGACACAGUGGGGAAGGAGCCAGCCAACACUUAGUUCUAAUCCUGAUUGACAUUUCGGGUCUGAGCAAAGACCUACAACUAACUCAUUGCCCUGAGUCUCUUCCUGCUUCGCUAUUCCUAACGCCCCUGCUUAUUUUAAAGGAGUUUAUUCCAUAUGUUUCUGACCCUCUUUCCUUUAAGCCAUUUUAACUGCAUUGCAGGAAGCUGUCUGAUAUCUAGAGAAACUUCUGGGUCGUGAUUUCUUUUUCUCUCUGUAAGAGAAAACCAGAUGUCGCCUGGAGGGAACGCGGCUGAAGCAGGCUCCCGUGGGUGAGGUGGAUGGGGGACUUCACCCAUGUCUCCAUCCACCGCGGCUUCAGAAAGGACAAGAGAAGAGAAAAGAUUUUCAGAAAAAUCCUAAGAAAGCCAGAGUUACAGUAGAUGACAAAAGAUCUCACCUAUAUCGCGGGGGCAUGGGGAAAGCGUAAAACAGCCUGGAGUUGAACUCUCACUUGUCGAUCCCACGAGGGAUGUGAGACCCUUAUCCCCGACUGUCUUUAAGAAAACAAAUCAGGGAGUGGGGCAGGCUGGCGAGGGGGGAGAGACCAGCGAGCGGUUCUCAGACUGGCUGGUUGCGGGGUGUGGGGGACAGAAUGGGGCCCCUCAAAGGACGCCUCAACAUCCUCACCUCAGAACCUGCGAAUAUGACCCGAUGUGGGAAAAGGGUCUUUGCAGAUGCAGUUAAGUUCAGCAUCUUGAGGUGAGAGCGUGCUGGAUCAUCCAGACGGGCCCUACGCCCAGUGUCAAGUGUUCGUACAAGAGAAGGGCCUGGGAAGGCUUGAGUCAGAGGAGAGAAGCCCGCGUGAAGGGGGAGGCAGGCGCUGGGGUGACGCCGCCACAGCCGAGGACGCCAGCGGCCACCAGAAGCUGGGAGAGUCCCUGCCAGAGCCUCGGAGGUGGUGGGGCCCUCCCGACACCUUGAUUUUGACCCAGUGACACUGAUUUUGGACUUCCGGCCUCCAGGGUGUGACAGAAUACGUUUCUGUUGUUUUAACCAUCCAGCGUGUGGCCAUUUGUCAUGGAAGCCCCAGGAGAGCGAUACAGCCAUUUCACCUUGGCUUCUCUGUCUGUGAAAGAAGGAUGGUGACAUCAUCCCUCUCCUGUAAGAACCGAAUGAGAUAAGAUGUGCUACAGUGUCUUGAGGAAGUCAAGACAACAGAAGAAUGAGAAGCCCUUCUCUCCCUUCUUUCCAGAAACAUCUAUGGAGUCCCUAGCAUAUAACUGCAGUGACACCAAGUGAGAAAGACAUUUGUCAGACCUGCCCUCACGCGCAGUUUAAAUGCAUGCAAAUUAUAUGCAAAUAGGCAACUCCCACAAGUCCGGUUCUUCCACCCGGGCCCGUUGGAAUUCUGGGAGUCCUGGCUUUCACCAGCUGUCUGCGGCAAAUGGGCAGCAGCAUCACACUGACAUACUUUCCAGAACAAUCCUGCCCAUCGCAGCGGCACCCAGGAUUACAUUCACUUGCAGUUCUGCGUUUGUGUUGUCAACUCUACUUGUGACAUGGGAUUCGUGUCGGAAAAGCCGGAAUCAGGUCGUGACAGGAUAAGGGCGUCAACCUCAGUUUUGGGGGGUGGUCUCGCUGACAAAGCUUGGGGCAGGAAGGGUGAUUACGGGAGAGGGAAACAGUGGCAUCGCAAAUAUUUGGAGCAGCUGGCUUGCUGCUCUCUGCUCAGACCAGGAUCGUCCUGCCCAUAAUUGUCUCCUCUCCACUAAAACCCCUCUCAGGCUCCAAACCUUCAGCAGCAAAGGCACGAAAGAAGAGAGGAGGGGGUGCUCCAGUUUUCCCACCUGGUUGGCUUUUCAAGUCUCAGGUGGGCAGAGGUGGCCUGGAUCUGACUAUUGAACGCCCAGCAGAGCCUCUCCCAACCCCACACCUGCCCGUGGCCUUCCACGGAACGAGCACGUAGAAGGAGCCAGCACAGCCCCAGUGGAACAGGUCUUGUGGGAUUAGCACAAAAAUUGCAAGGAAAUCUGACCUCAUGGGGGGAAAAAGCCAACCCUAACAGAAAGGUUCUUUAGGAAAAGAAAAGAAAGACAGAAAAGGACCCAGAAAAUGCACAGGGAUCAAUGCUACCCAUGAAUCAGAGAUUCUUUGCAGUAAAGACCCAAAAGUUCUAGGAAAGAACUAUAACCCUGUCGGGAGCCUUGACUAUGUGCUGGGCACUGUUCUCAGUGCCUUACGCAUCUUUCCUAAGCCAGCCCCAGAGCCCAGAAUUGUCCUCACGGCAAUUAACAGGGACAUGAUCACAGUGGGACAAGGAGCAGACCAGGGUAGAAUUCCCAAAAUAAAGAAAUUCAAAUGAUUUCAGAAAACAGUAAACACAUGGGACCAAAGACGCAGACAAUUAAUAAAACAGAAGAUGAUCCUGAAAGCAUAAACAAAUGUGGAGGAAGAAAUGAACAGAGAUGAGAAGAAUGGGAGAGAACUUGAAAGCUCUUCAGCUUCCCAAGUAGAAAAGACAGGUUUCUUUCAAAGAUGCCCAGUGCUGGGUGUUUCUGGGGCUCUCCUGCUGCAGUGACCAAGACUGGAAGUUAACCUUCAAAAACAUUUUAAAAAGUGUGAUAGUUAAGGAAGUGAUCCGAGUGGAUGUUAUUGAAAUGUGAUUGCGUCAGAAGGAUAUUCUUACCCUGGCAGAAUUUCACAAAAUUUACCACCUAAGCACCAUUUCAUCAGACAUCCACGGAGAAGGAAUUGUCAAGAAGUCCAAGGACUGAAGAAAGAGGAACGGAGUUUUAAAACCUCUUGUUAUGUUGGAAAAGUAUGUAUGAAGACCAGAAUAUUUUACACAAAAUAAAUAACAUAAACUGGGGUGGAGAAGGGUUAAGAUGGUUGAUGGAACAGAUGCAUCUAACUUUGUUCUCUCCCAAAACCUCACUAAAACAAGAAAGCCUUUUUUUUUUUUUUUUUUUUUUUUUUUGGUUUUGGUUUCUUAAAAGCUUAAACCUUCAAGGAGAGGGGGAGGAGAGAAUAGCAACAUUUUGGAAGCUGAGAGGUGGGUCAUGAGUCGUAACUGACUUAUCAGACUUGGGACAGACAAAUCUUAAAACAGCAGUGGGGAAAGCUGAGAACUGAAAAAGAGUUCAUUUCUCAUGGGUGACAUUCAAAUGCAGAUAUUUGCCAUUUAAACAUACUGUUAUAUAACAGAAAACAGAACAUUCACAAAUUAAAAUCGUUCUAGGAAUGUGAGAUUGAAGAAGCCCAAGAGAAAACAAAAUCAAAUGAUCAAGAAGAAAAGCAAAACCAUUAUAACAAUAAAUGUAAAUCGUCCAAAUUCACCCUUUAAAAGGCAUAGGAUCUCAAAGUGGUCAUUUACAAGAGAUACAAAAAGCAAAUAGAUACAGAAGUGCAAAAAAACAGCAAAUGAUUUUCAAUCUAGUUCAUAUAAAGGGAGAGGGAUUCAUAUUUAAUAAUGUUGUUUAUAAAACAAAAUAUCCAUGAAGAUAAAAAUUGGUUAUUAUUAAAAAGUUUUAGUUAGUAAUGAAAUAAAGAUAAGGAUUCAUAAACUAACAACUAAAGAACAAUAGUAUAAAUUGAAUGGAGUAAAAACCAGUAGCAGUACUGGGACAAAUUAAUAAAAGCAGGGUGUAUUAUGGAUCUGCAAGUUCAUGAAUAAAUAGAGGAAAUAAAGUGACUAUAUAGAACUUACAGACUUACCCAAACUCAAUUUAUUCAAUAGAAACAUAUAUAUAUAUACACACACACACACAAAAAUGUUCAAUGCAGCAUUAUUUGUAAAAGUCAAAACUUGGAAGCCAUCCACAAGCCCAACAUGAGGAGAAUGGUUUCAUAAUUCACAGCACAGACACAUCGUGAAAUAUCACAGAGCCACGUAAGGUUGUAUGAAGCCCACAUGGAAGCAGGGGGAAUUAUGUGCUAUGCCAAGUUAAAUGUAUGAAUACAAAAUGUUAUGUGCACUUCUAUUUUAUAACAAGUGGAAGAAAAAGUCAAAAAAUAAAAUUAACAAAAUGUAGCAUGAUCAGA